UACGGAGGGUGCAAGCGUUAAUCGGAAUUACUGGGCGUAAAGCGUGCGCAGGCGGUUCGUUAAGUCAGAUGUGAAAGCCCCGGGCUCAACCUGGGAACUGCAUUUGAAACUGGCGGGCUUGAGUGUGGCAGAGGGGGGUGGAAUUCCGCGUGUAGCAGUGAAAUGCGUAGAGAUGCGGAGGAACACCGAUGGCGAAGGCAGCCCCCUGGGCCAACACUGACGCUCAGGCACGAAAGCGUGGGGAGCAAACAGG
rnacentral:rRNA from 1 species